ACAGAUUUUUGCAAGUCAAAUCAUUUUCAUCAGAGCACCGAGGAAGUUACUUUUCCAUCUUAGAGUUUCGGAUACAAUUUUGCAUUUAUUGAAAUACAUUCAAGAGUGAAAUGAUGGAUUUGGACUCACCCCGCAAGUGCUUGAAAAGAAAGAGCCUUUUUUUAAAGAACGCUCUAAACAGAUUGGCCAAAUACUCACCCCGCGGCACUCCUAGGAACGAUCAUACGGCGGUUCUGCUUUCCGGAAAUGGAGUACUGCCAACGGGCAAAAUAUCGAUUCUUCCCUUCGCAACACAUCAGAAGACAAAUGUGUUCCUG